rnacentral:rRNA from 1 species
UACGAAGGGGGCUAGCGUUGCUCGGAAUCACUGGGCGUAAAGCGCACGUAGGCGGAUCUUUAAGUCAGGGGUGAAAUCCCGGAGCUCAACUCCGGAACUGCCUUUGAUACUGAGGGUCUCGAGUUCGGGAGAGGUGAGUGGAACUGCGAGUGUAGAGGUGAAAUUCGUAGAUAUUCGCAAGAACACCAGUGGCGAAGGCGGCUCACUGGCCCGGUACUGACGCUGAGGUGCGAAAGCGUGGGGAGCAAACAGGG